rnacentral:misc_RNA from 1 species
GAUGAAGAACGUAGCGAAAUGCGAUAAGUAAUGUGAAUUGCAGAAUUCAGUGAAUCAUCGAAUGUUUGAACGCACAUUGCGCCCGCCAGUAUUCUGGCGGGCAUGCCUGUUCGAGCGUCAUUUCAACCAUCAAGCCCCAGGCUUGUGUUGGGGACCUGCGGCUGCCGCAGGCCCUGAAAACCAGUGGCGGGCUCGCUGUCACACCGGGCGUAGUAGAUUUUAUCUCGCUCAGGGCGUGCUGCGGGUUCCGGCCGUUAAAAAGCCUUUUUUACCCAAGGUUGACCUCGGAUCAGGUAGGAAGACCCGCUGAACUUAAGCAUAUCAAUAAGCGGAGGA